rnacentral:rRNA from 1 species
UUCGCCGGGGAUAAUCUGCCUUUGAGUGGGGGAUAACUAGUCGAAAGAUUAGCUAAUACCGCAUAAGACCACAAGAACUGCGGUUCAAGGGGUCAAAGGUUUUUCGCUCUAAGAUGAGUCCGCGUAAGAUUAGCUAGUUGGUGAGGUAAUGGCUCACCAAGGCGACGAUCUUUAACUGGUCUGAGAGGAUGAUCAGUCACACUGGAACUGAGACACGGUCCAGACUCCUACGGGAGGCAGCAGUAGGGAAUAUUGCACAAUGGAGGAAACUCUGAUGCAGCGACGCCGCGUGAGUGAUGAAGGCCUUCGGGUCGUAAAGCUCUGUCGCAGGGGAAUAACACAAUGAAUGUACCCUGUAAGAAAGGAUCGGCUAACUUCGUGCCAGCAGCCGCGGUAAGACGAGGGAUCCUAGCGUUGUUCGGAAUUAUUGGGCGUAAAGCGGAUGUAGGUGGCUUUGUAAGUCAGAUGUGAAAGCCCAGGGCUCAACCCUGGAAGUGCAUUUGAUACUGCGAAGCUUGAGUGUCGGAGAGGUUACUAGAAUUGUUGGUGUAGUGGUGAAAUACGUAGAUAUCAACAGGAAUACCGGAGGCGAAGGCGGGUAACUGGCCGAACACUGACACUGAGAUCCGAAAGCGUGGGGAUCAAACAGGAUUAGAUACCCUGGUAGUCCACGCCGUAAACGAUGGAUACUUGUUGUUAGAG